rnacentral:sRNA from 1 species
CGCAUUUUAACGCCGUGUUAACGUUUCCGAUUUAUCAAUGGGAUCAGUCCAGAUGGUCUGGAUGUCGAGUGGUAUUUCUGUCCACUCUGUUUGAUGCCUCCCUGAUGACUCUUUCAAGCCGCUCUUCGGAGCGGCUUUUUUCUU